rnacentral:lncRNA from 1 species
UGGGGAAGCAAUGAAAGCAUAAAGCUGGACGCCUCUUCUUUUCCCUUUACGGAGCACUUUGUGUCACAAAUUGGCAUGGAUUCGAGACACGUCACCCAUCUUCUGAAGGCAGUCUCCACUUCAGAAAUAGAUCUACCCUGGUCUUCAGACUGAGAGUUCCAAACUCAAGCUGUCAAGUCUAAUCAUGACACCUGCCUACUGUGUAUACAAAGGAAAAGAAAAUGCCGCUGGGAACUGCC